AUGCUCACUUUGGCAGCACAUACAUUAAAAUUGGAACGAUACAGAGAUCAGCAUGGCCCCUGCGCAAGGAUGACACGCAAAUUCGAGAAGUGUUCCAUUUAAAA